AUUGAACGCUGGCGGCAUGCCUUACACAUGCAAGUCGAACGGCAGCACGGGAGCAAUCCUGGUGGCGAGUGGCGAACGGGUGAGUAAAGUAUCGGAACGUGCCCAGUCGUGGGGGAUAACGUAGCGAAAGUUACGCUAAUACCGCAUACGAUCUAUGAAUGAAAGCGGGGGAUCGCAAGACCUCGCGCGAUUGGAGCGGCCGAUAUCAGAUUAGGUAGUUGGUGGGGUAAAGGCUCACCAAGCCGACGAUCUGUAGCUGGUCUGAGAGGACGACCAGCCACACUGGGACUGAGACACGGCCCAGACUCCUACGGGAGGCAGCAGUGGGGAAUUUUGGACAAUGGGCGAAAGCCUGAUCCAGCCAUGCCGCGUGCAGGAUGAAGGCCUUCGGGUUGUAAACUGCUUUUGUACGGUACGAAAAGGUUUGGCCUAAUAAGCUGAGCUCAUGACGGUACCGUAAGAAUAAGCACCGGCUAACUACGUGCCAGCAGCCGCCGUAA
rnacentral:rRNA from 1 species